AACGAACGCUGGCGGCAUGCCUAACACAUGCAAGUCGAACGAGACCUUCGGGUCUAGUGGCGCACGGGUGCGUAACGCGUGGGAACCUGCCCUUAGGUUCGGAAUAACUCCCCGAAAGGGGUGCUAAUACCGGAUAAUGUCUUCGGACCAAAGAUUUAUCGCCUUUGGAUGGGCCCGCGUUGGAUUAGCUAGUUGGUAGGGUAAAAGCCUACCAAGGCGACGAUCCAUAGCUGGUCUGAGAGGAUGAUCAGCCACACUGGGACUGAGACACGGCCCAGACUCCUACGGGAGGCAGCAGUGGGGAAAAUUGGACAAUGGGCGAAAGCCUGAUCCAGCAAUGCCGCGUGAGUGAUGAAGGCCUUAGGGUUGUAAAGCUCUUUUACCCGGGAUGAUAAUGACAGUACCGGGAGAAUAAGCGCCGGCUAACUCCGUG
rnacentral:rRNA from 1 species